rnacentral:lncRNA from 1 species
UACGCAUCCGUAGUACUCUACGGGAUCCACUUAUGCGGUUUCUGUUUAAAGGGUGUGGUUUUGCCUAAUGUGCUAUUUACUAAAAAGGUUGAGAGAAAUGACUCGCGCGGAUGUCGCAUCCACUGCAUACGUAUCUCAUCUGAAUAUGAGAAUCAGAGUCUUCGUAGCUCGGCUGACCUAUGGGUUGGGGGGAUGUGUGCUCGCUAAGACAUCGCGUCUUAUGCCUACGUAUCUCAUCUGGAAUGAGAAUCAGAGCAAGCCGUAGUUCGACUAACUACGGGGUUAUGGAUUAUGUUACGGGGUGAACAACGUUACUACGCAAUCUACCGGAUGCUCGACCUUUGGAGACUUACUCGCCUGUAGUAGAAGGAGUAAACGUGUUGCUUUGGGUUUUAGGUUUUGUUUGCGUUGUAGGAACGCGCAUGCAAAAAGGAAGUCCUAGGCGGAGGAACAGUGCUACCUAAAUUGGCAUGCAAACGGGAGACUAUGCGAAGCCUCGCAUCCUAUGGGGAAACAAUCACAUCACACAAAACAUAUAUCUUGAAAUAGAAAAAAUGCCACCAAGGGGCUCAAACAUUGCCUCCUAUCGAGGUCUUCCAGCUAAGAAACAGUAGAAAUAAAAGGGAAGAAGUAAAAUACCACACGGAUCAAGAUCCGAAGUUACAGCAAUUAAAGGAUAAGCGACCCUGAGAUUCUCCCAAGCUGAUGCCAUCAAAGAAAACCAAUCAGUACGGGAAAUCGGAAUAAACCUCCGGAGGGUAUCCCUGCGAGAAUAUGUGAGCCCUCACAAAAACUCAACAAAAGGGGUUAGGCAAACAGGAUGAAAUCAAAAGAUAACAAGGCCAUGGCAACACAAAGAACAGGUUAGAACAAAACGGAAUAAAGCAGAUACUGUCACAUUCGCGACUGCUUCGCCUAGCGAAAGCCUAGCGAAGCUUCGCUGCGUGCUCGCCUAGCGAAGCGGCUAGCGAGCACCUGCGGGAUUUGGAUUUCCCAUUGGUACCUGCACGAUGUUAAAGAUUCCAGAUCCUAUGGCAUUCACCUCAGAAACGAAAUUGUUAAACAGUCAAGGCAUAAAUCACAUAUUCAUACACAAAUAUAACCCUGUGGGCCAAACCUGAGGUUACCUCAUAUAUUCAGUAUUCAA